UGUCAAUCAAAACUAAAGUUGAACUGAUGUCUGUGCCCAGUGGGAUUUGUCAAGACAAACCAUAGCCUACUUUUGCUUUUAGUUCGGAACACUAAAAUCGAACUCUGUAAUUAAUCAAUUCAGUGAACUUGAGUUUACCAUAAUUGCAAUGUUAUAUUCAGACCUGGAUAGGUGGCCUGACUGGUCUCGCACCACGGAGAUGGAUAUUUACACAGACACUAAUUGAUGAAAUGCGUUUAUGCAUAAUCUAUUUGACUCAUCCUGGCAUAAACCCUGGCUGGGUCUCAGUCCAAAAUCAGCAUUUGCCAUGAAUCUGACUACAUUACCCAUAAUGCUCAUUGACUGAACAUCAUGGAAUCAUGGAUACCUUUCCUGUGAGUACUCAAGCGGUGAUUCCCCUGAGGUACAAUAUGAUAAGAACUGGAGACUGGGUCCAAGAUGUCCGACCGUUGUUUUCAAGCUACCUGCCUCCUCCUGUGGUCCUUUACCAAUAAACACCUGCUGCGCCCUGUGGUUGAAACCAGCUCUCUGUCUCCCAUUGUGUUCGUUACAGGAAAAUGGUCCAAUUCACACCCUUAUCAAGAGAACUUCCCUGGUCAUCUCUACUGCCUCUGAUCUGGCGGACUCACUAAACACAAAUGCUUUGUUUGCAAAUUAUGUCUGAGUGUUGGAGUGUGCCCCUGG
ensembl:lncRNA